rnacentral:rRNA from 1 species
UACGGAGGAUGCAAGUGUUAUCCGGAUUCAUUGGGUUUAAAGGGUGCGUAGGCGGCUUUUUAAGUCAGCGGUGAAAUUUUGCAGCUUAACUGUAACAGUGCCGUUGAUACUGGGGAGCUAGGAUUUGGUUGCUGUGGGUGGAAUGUGUGGUGUAGCGGUGAAAUGCUUAGAGAUCACACAGAAUAUCGAUUGCGAAGGCAGCUCACAAAGCCAAGAUUGACACUGAGGCACGAAAGUGUGGGGAUCAAACAGGAUUA